rnacentral:misc_RNA from 1 species
AUGAAGAACGCUGCGAAAUGCGAUACGUAAUGUGAAUUGCAGAAUUCAGUGAAUCAUCGAGUCUUUGAACGCACAUUGCGCCCCCUGGUAUUCCGGGGGGCAUGCCUGUCCGAGCGUCAUUGCUGCCCUCAAGCACGGCUUGUGUGUUGGGCCUCCGUCCUCCUCCCGGGGGACGGGCCCGAAAGGCAGCGGCGGCACCGCGUCCGGUCCUCGAGCGUAUGGGGCUUCGUCACCCGCUCUUGUAGGCCCGGCCGGCGCUUGCCGACACAUCAAUCUUUUUUCCAGGUUGACCUCGGAUCAGGCAGGGAUACCCGCUGAACUUAAGCAUAUCAAUAAGCGGAGGA